AAAAAUAAAGAAUAUAGGGGCGCCUGGGUGGCUCAGUCAUUAAGCAUCUGACUUUGGCUCAGGUCAUGAUCUCAUAGUUUGCGAGUUUGCGUCCCACAUCGGGUGAACUCGUGCCCUGCUUCAGGUGAACAUGAGCCCCACUUCAGGU